rnacentral:rRNA from 1 species
GUGUCAGCAGCCGCGGUAAUACGGAGGGUGCAAGCGUUAUCCGGAUUCACUGGGUUUAAAGGGUGCGUAGGCGGAAUGAUAAGUCAGUGGUGAAAGCCCCGAGCUCAACUUGGGAAUUGCCAUUGAUACUGUUGUUCUUGAGUUCGGUUGAGGUAGGCGGAAUGUUGCAUGUAGCGGUGAAAUGCUUAGAUAUGCAACAGAACACCGAUUGCGAAGGCAGCUUACCAAGCCGACACUGACGCUGAGGCACGAAAGCGUGGGGAUCAAACAGGAUUAGAUACCCCCGUAGUCC